UACAGAGGGCGCGAGCGUUGUCCGGAAUCACUGGGCGUAAAGGGCGCGUAGGUGGCGGCAUAAGGCUGUGGUGAAAGUCUGGGGCUCAACUCCAGAUCGGCCGCGGCAACUGUGUCGCUAGGGCACCGUAGAGGCAGAUGGAAUUCCGGGUGUAGCGGUGGAAUGCGUAGAGAUCCGGAAGAACACCAGUGGCGAAGGCGGUCUGCUGGGCGGUGGACUCGAAAGGGUCCAAUAGCCGACACUGAGGCGCGACAGCGUGGGGAGCAAACAGG
rnacentral:rRNA from 1 species